rnacentral:rRNA from 1 species
CCUGUAUGAAGUCGGAAUUGCUAGUAAUCGCAGAUCAGCAUGCUGCGGUGAAUACGUUCCCGGGCCUUGUACACACCGCCCGUCACACCAUGAGAGUUGGCAACACCCGAAGUCGGUAGUCUAACCGCAAGGAGGACGCCGCCGAAGGUGGGGUUGACGAUUGGGGUGAAGUCGUAACAAGGUAGC